rnacentral:misc_RNA from 1 species
GAUGAAGAACGCAGCGAAAUGCGAUACUUGGUGUGAAUUGCAGAAUCCCGUGAACCAUCGAGUCUUUGAACGCAAGUUGCGCCCGAAGCCAUCAGGUUGAGGGCACGUCUGCCUGGGCGUCACAUAUCGUUGCUCGAUGCCUAUCGCAUUGCGAUAGGACUUAGGGCGAAUGAUGGCUUCCCGUGAGCGUUGUUGCCUCGCGGUUGGUUGAAAAUCGAGUCCUUGGUAGGGUGUGCCAUGAUAGAUGGUGGUCGAGUGAUGAUGCUCGAGACCAAUCAUGGGUAACUCCACCAGAAUUGGGCUCGGUGACCCACAUGCGUCCCUUGGAUGCUCCCUAAGGAGACCUCAGGUCAGGCGGGGCUACCCGCUGAGUUUAAGCAUAUCAAUAAGCGGAGGA